UACAGAGGUCUCAAGCGUUGUUCGGAUUCAUUGGGCGUAAAGGGUGCGUAGGUGGCGCCAUAAGUCAGGUGUGAAAUCUCGGGGGCUCAACUCCGAAACUGCACUUGAUACUGUGGUGCUCGAGUACUGGAGAGGAGAUUGGAAUUUACGGUGUAGCAGUGAAAUGCGUAGAUAUCGUAAGGAAGACCAGUGGCGAAGGCGAAUCUCUGGACAGUUACUGACACUGAGGCACGAAGGCCAGGGGAGCGAACGGG
rnacentral:rRNA from 1 species